GGUGAGGAAUACAUCGGAAUCUACUCUGUCGUGGGGGAUAACGUAGGGAAACUUACGCUAAUACCGCAUACGACCUACGGGUGAAAGCAGGGGACCUUCGGGCCUUGCGCGAUUGAAUGAGCCGAUGUCGGAUUAGCUAGUUGGCGGGGUAAAGGCCCACCAAGGCGACGAUCCGUAGCUGGUCUGAGAGGAUGAUCAGCCACACUGGAACUGAGACACGGUCCAGACUCCUACGGGAGGCAGCAGUGGGG
rnacentral:rRNA from 1 species